GACGAACGCUGGCGGCGUGCUUAACACAUGCAAGUCGAACGCUGAAGCACCAGCUUGCUGGUGUGGAUGAGUGGCGAACGGGUGAGUAAUACGUGAGUAACCUGCCCUUGACUCUGGGAUAAGCCCGGGAAACUGGGUCUAAUACUGGAUGCUACAUGUCACCGCAUGGUGGUGUGUGGAAAGGGUUUACUGGUCUUGGAUGGGCUCACAGCCUAUCAGCUUGUUGGUGAGGUAAUGGCUCACCAAGGCGACGACGGGUAGCCGGCCUGAGAGGGUGACCGGCCACACUGGGACUGAGACACGGCCCAGACUCCUACGGGAGGCAGCAGUGGGGAAUAUUGCACAAUGGGCGAAAGCCUGAUGCAGCGACGCCGCGUGAGGGAUGACGGCCUUCGGGUUGUAAACCUCUUUCAGCAGGGAAGAAGCCACAAGUGACAGUACCUGCAGAAGAAGCGCCGGCUAACUACGUG
rnacentral:rRNA from 1 species